rnacentral:lncRNA from 1 species
CGCUGGAACUUCCACACCUGGUUGGAUAUUGAUUUUACUUCAAAGAAGGUUGACACAUCUAAAAGAAUCUUUGUUUCCAACUGGACUGACUCAUUGAGAGGAAACCUUCACUGCACCUCACCAGUGCAGACAGAAGACCUGGAGGCAGGACGGGAGGCAUUUUAUACUUCAGCACGAUAUGGGCCCUGACUUUUCAUUUUCUACAUGGAGACAUAUUGAUCCUGCCUCCCAAGCCUAUAAGCUUUACCAGGAGAGAGGCAGGCCCCACCCCAAGAUCCACUAUCCACUCUUUGAAGAAAGAUUAGAGCCAUGUUCUCAGACUUUGGGCUGCAUCCUAAUCCCUGCGAAGCUGCACAAUGUGUGAUGACUCCACCCUCCACCCGAUCCAGAGGGUCUGGGGUGAGACCCAAGGCUGAGAGGCCUCGAUGGCUUCCUGGCCCCAUCUCCGGCAGCAGCCUCUAUGGCUGGGCUCUCCUGCAGGCUGGGUGCACCCCAGGCCCUCAGAUGGUUCUAACCAGAAUCGAUGGGCAGCAGUGACUUCGACUGUAUCAUCAAUCUUGGCUGCCACAAGGUUGGGUGUCCAGGCCCUCAGCUGACCCUUGAGGUGGGCCCCCACACAGAGCUUUGCUCUGCCCCCAGCCCACCCUCAUUCAUCGCCCAGACCACGGCCAGGGACCCAGCUCCUCAUGUCCCAUACCCUGCUCUCACCUCAUCACCAGUGCAACCACAGCACCGAGGCCUGCCUGGCGGGGGCUGUGGCUUGAUGCUUGGGAUUUCAUGAGAAGUCUCUCUCCUCCCGACUGACGUGGUUGCACAAGCCACAGUGUGCCUGGCCACCCCCACUGGGACCGCCUGCAGCUCGGCCAUUUCCCCCAGAGGCGCUCUGAUCUGCCCUCCUGCCUCCUCUCCUGUUCUUGUUAGUAGAGAGCCACACUCUGGGAGCUGUGUAGACCCAGGGCCUCAGAGAGGGCUGGAGGAUGGCUUGCCAGCCAAGCGGGUCAGUUUGGUGAGCACUUCAGAAUGAGACGCCUUGAUUUGUUUCCCUAUUCCAAGAGUUUACCAUCUGGAUUUAGCCAUGCCCUUGUAAUGACCCCACCAAUUUCAUGAAAAAUGGAAUCUGUGAAUUUGCUCUUUAAAUCACUAGUCAUCUCUGUUCAUUUAAAAAUAAAAUUAUAGUUCCUUAAGUUUGUAUUGCUAAAGGCAUCAGAAGAAUUCAUCUUAAGCAAAUAGCAUGUGACUAUUUUGCCUUAUGAGAUGGUGUAUUUGGGACUAGGAUGGCCAUAUAUCAAUAUGUGACAGGAUAUCGAGAUCCAAUGUUAGCCAGAGAUCUCAAUUAGUCCCAGUUUUGUUCUCAUAAUUCAUUUUAAUUCAGUGAAUUUUUAGAUACUUUUUUAAGCCCUUGAAGUUUUUCUUGAUUCCAACAUAUCAAAGCAUUCAAAAUAUACUGAAUGUCAAAUGUUCAGGAGGAGGCCUCACUGUGUAAAACCAGAACUUGACA